CUGAGCUGAAAUCAACAGUUGGAGCCUCGACCGACUGAACCCCCAGGCGCCCCCAUGUACUUUGUAAGUUCACAAAGUAUAGGAUCUAGAGGUUGGUGUAAUUCUAUCUUAAAGUACCGCUGAACUUCAUAAUAUGUGAAGUUUCUGGGCUGUAAUGGAUGUCCCUUUGUUGCCGGAGGGAACCUGGAGGCCCCCUGUCGGCCCAGGUUGCUAUUAUGGAGGGACAGGUGACUUCACCCCAGCACGGUCUGGACCAUCUGCGGGCAAGGGGAAAACUCCUCACCUACGGUCUCCGUAAGGCUCACCUGCAAAUAUUGGACUUUCACUUCACUGUGAGCAGCUUUAUUGUACUUUGUGUCAGAAGGAAUGUCCAGCCUUUGCAACUGGACUGCCUGGGUUUGAAUUCUCGACAAUCACUGCUCAGCCUGGCUUGUUUGCUGAUCUGCAGGAUUCCGUGCACAAGGCUGGGGGGAAAGUGGGCCUAUCAGUGUCAAGGGCUUAGAACAGAAUGUGGCAGGUGCUCAGGCACCUCCCGGGUCUUUCCUUGGUCCUGUGCUGGGCCACACCCGGUCCUCACCGCCCGCCCUUCAGUGGGUUUAGAGAAGAAUCAAGACAACCCUAAACCUUUCCAGCACAUUCCGUGAUCCAUUUCGAUUUGCUCUGCCGUUGCUAGCAAACCGGCUAUAAAUAGAAGUUUGUGUGUGUGCAGUCCUCUCGCUGCCGCGUGACCCCCGGGUAGCUCAGGUGACACAGUGACCCAGGGCCAGCCCUCGUCACCACACGGUCACCUCCUAACAAGGCCAGCAGACACGGUCAAGACUCAGACUUCCAGCGCCAGGUCCUGCUGUAGCCACGGCUGCCUCGCUCUGACGGUUUCAGAAAUGUCGACGCCGCGGCCCGCCGGCAGGAAGGUCUAUGAUUUCCGGUGGUUUGGUUCUGAAGAAGAGGAGCCUGCCCUCGGACAGACGGCUCCUCCUGAAAGCCGGUGCUCGACGACCAGUGUUUCAGCAGAGUGCAAGGCCUCCGUGCCACGGCUGCGUGGCGAGGGUGACGUGAGGUCCAAGAAGCCACGGCGCGCUCAGUGGACAGUGACUGCCCCAUGGGGCUUACCGGGUGGGGCAGCUGGCGAUGGUACUUUGGCCCCUCUUGGGACGCUGACCUUGAGGAGCAUUCCUCCAUGUGGGGUCUGUUUCCCCAUCCCCCGCUUUCGACGCCCUCUGGCUGAACAAAGGUAAGCCAGACGACACCCCCAGGCCCCAAAGCAGGAUGUUAGCCUCCUGCUGAAACAAUAUUUCAGGACCGAGGACAGGUUGCAUUUUUCCCUGUGACCAAAGACUUGGUUUGAACAAGUAGCCUUGAUUUCUUUCUGCCUUUUUUUUUUUUUUUAAAGACUGUUUAUUUGAGAGACAGAGAGACAUUGAG